GCGUCGCAGUCCACGGUGAAGGUUCUGAUCCGGCUGCUCAAGGACCUGAGGAUUCGCUUCCCUGGCUUCGAACCGCUCACCCCCUGGAUCCUGGACCUGCUGGGUCACUACGCCGUGAUGAACAACCCCACCCGGCAGCCCCUGGCCCUCAACAUCGCCUACAGGUCUGUGGGGUUUCCAU